rnacentral:rRNA from 1 species
CCAGACUCCUACGGGAGGCAGCAGUGGGGAAUAUUGGGCAAUGGGCGCAAGCCUGACCCAGCGACGCCGCGUGAGGGAAGACGGUCUUCGGAUUGUAAACCUCUUUCAGCAGGGAAGACAAAAGGACGGUACCUGCAGAAGAAGCCACGGCUAACUACGUGCCAGCAGCCGCGGUAAUACGUAGGUGGCAAGCGUUAUCCGGAAUUAUUGGGUGUAAAGGGUGCGUAGACGGGAUAACAAGUUGGUUGUGAAACCCCUCGGCUCAACUGAGGAACUGCAACCAAAACUAUUAUUCUUGAGUGCAGGAGAGGAAAGUGGAAUUCCUAGUGUAGCGGUGAAAUGCGUAGAUAUUAGGAGGAACACCGGUGGCGAAGGCGACUUUCUGGACGAUAACUGACGUUGAGGCACGAAAGUGUGGGGAGCAAACAGGAUUAGAUACCCGAGUA